rnacentral:rRNA from 1 species
GGAGGGACUGCCGGGGACAACCCGGAGGAAGGUGGGGACGACGUCAAAUCAUCAUGCCCCUUAUGGCCUGGGCUACACACGUGCUACAAUGGCGUAAACAGAGGGAGGCAGCCCCGCGAGGGUGAGCAAACCCCAAAAAUAACGUCCCAGUUCGGAUUGCAGUCUGCAACUCGACUGCAUGAAGCUGGAAUCGCUAGUAAUCGCGGAUCAGAAUGCCGCGGUGAAUACGUUCCCGGGUCUUGUACACACCGCCCGUCACACCAUGGGAGUUGGUAACGCCCGAAGUCAGUGACCUAACCGAAAGGGAGGAGCUGCCGAAGGUGGGACCAGUGACUGGGGUGAAGUCGUAACAAGGUAGCCGUAUCGGAAGGUGCGGCUGGAUCACCUC